ACUUGGAGAUUAUCUCCUUUGGAGUGUUUGGUGAGCCUUAAUCCUUGGAAAGGGAAAGGAGUUGCUCGUGGUUUUGAGAACAAUGGCAGAGAUGCAGCCCAUGUUGAGGAGGGGGAAGUACAUGGGGGUGUGCAGGCAGUGGUUGCAGGCUGUGACAAAGAGGCUGUUGCACAGGAGGGCAGCCAGGUGGAUGUCUAGGAAGGGCUAGGAGUUGAGGCGCUGCAGCUCCCUCAUGUUUGCAAAUGGCAGGAGGAGGAACUCAGCGAUGGCACUUCUGUUGGACAUCACUGCCCCUGUUCAUGGAGAUUUCCACAGGAAGAAAAUAAAAAGAAAGAUCAGACAAGCUUCUCUGAGGGCAAGAUGAGGAUGCUGACUCAAAAGGACUCUUGGACACUGCAGAAAUCCUCUGCAAGACCUCUGACUGCAGAUAAGGCAGCUUCUGGCCUGGAUCACACAGCUUUGAGCGUAGAGGAUGACAGGAUGCUUCCAGACCUUGUGUCAUACCAAAAAAAAACCGUGUUGGGUAGGAAGGGAGACAUUGACCAACUGGAUGCAGUUGUAUGGAGAGUCACCAAGAUGGUUAAGGCUAGGAAACUUGUAUGUGAGGAGAGGCUGAGAGUUCUGGGCUUUCUCUAUGUCUGGAGGGUGAAAGGUCUGCAUGGAACACUCAGCAACAUUGCAUAGUUCCCAUGUGUCAGGUUAAUAUACAUGACACAAAAUAUAAGGAGAAGAGGCAAUGGGCUGCUAUGUAUCUAUGUGGAGUAACUUUUCUAGCACUAAAAAGAACGUUACUGAGUCAGAACUUCAUUUUCCUUAUGAACUGUGGGGUUUUUUUUGUUUGUUUUUGGGUUUGUUUUUUUUUUUUUGGUCUGUUUGAUCUUUAAAGAUGUGCAAGCACUAGUAAAAUUGCUAGGCUGGAUGCAAGAGUGGCUCUUCAUCAACAAGGCUUUAUAAAUAUGUGCUGGGGGUAUAUCUGGGAGGAAUGUCUCUUGUUUUGGUCUGGUGCCUGAAAUCUCACCUAUGCAUAAUGGGGUGAGAAGAAAUUCAACAGCAGAUUCUCUGCUGAACAGUGUUUGCAAACCACAUGUCUGUCCUGCAAUGGUUGUACAGAUAUUCAGCAGGAGAAUAAACUCGGCUGGUCCAGUUUUUCCUCUUUGCACUGCUGCCAGGACCCCACCAUACAAGACAGAUGUAUUGCAUCCACACCUAUAGGGAGAACUACAAGUGCAGCCUCCUAAAUGGAUGCAACGCCCCUUGCUCUGACUGAAAGCUCAACAGUCACCCAUCCUGCCACUGAGGAGCCACAGGAGGGCGAUGCUGCAUGCUGAAUCUGUGGUGCAGCGAGCUAUAAAUGAACACGUAACCAAGCUACAGAUGGCAAAGCAAGUGCAGUGCCUUUAACAGUUAUGUCUGACGUUCUGCUCAGCUGUUGGGUGCCAGACACCAGCACAACACAUGGUAGCCUGCUACCUCAUGGGGAGGCAGCCUGUAAGAAGCAGUGGUGCAAGGAACGUGUGCACACACAGGCCUCUCCUAGGAGAGGUUUGCAUCAUGUCUGACACACUUAGGGUAGGAUGCAUUGGCCCAUCGAGGUGGCAGUACUGCAGUGCCACUGAGUGCAGCUGGCUCUCUGCAUGCAUGGUCCCCAGGUGUGUCUGUCAGACCACUGCAGGGAUACUCUUAGUUGCACUGUUGUAAGUAGAAGCACAGGAGCAACUCCCACGAUGGUAAUGCCUGUGAAGUAUGCAUGCCACUCUCAUGUACCAUGUGCAAAUGCAGUCUUUAAACAAUUCUGAACAUCACUGGUUUCCGAAAGCUUCCUCAGCUGUGCAUGUGUUAUGCAUUAUUGAAACUGACUAAACUAAUGAUAUGCUUACCAAGGCCUAGGGAAUUCUACAAAAGUGCUUUAUAAGACUGAUUUCUGCAUACAGUGGGCAAUGAAAUAUCUUAUUAUGAAUCUUAUUCAUGUGCGAUGUUACACUCUCCAACAGUGUUCUCUCUUAGAAAACUCAGGAUUAGUAAUUCCAUUCAAAAGAUUGACCUGUAUUUGGCAGGAUCUGGGAAUAAGACAAGUUGCCUUAAGCAGCAGGUUAACAACGGCACCAAAAUGGCUCCAAAACAGGAGGAUCCUGGCAUAUGCUGUGGGUAGCAAAGGAUGGUGGUUACUGAUGUGGGCUGGGGAAGGAAGACCUGCCUCCCCAACCUGGCAACUGUGCCCUCGUUCUCCUGUCUCUUUGAUAUAAGUACGAAGUCCUAGCUCCUCAGGGUUGUCUCUUCAUACAAGAUAUAGAAUCACAAAAUGAUGAAGUCUUUGAGAUGAAAAGGGACCUCUUGAGACCACGCAAUCCAUUGUACCUGUUCAAAAAGGGUCAGCCAGAGCUGAUCCUGGAUUUUCACUGUGCUGUAGCAUCCAGUAGCAAGUUCAGCACAAAGCAGUGCCAGCACUGAGAUAUAAUUUGGGGUGGGCAUGCUGAGUUUCUAUGCCUUUAUGUCAGCCAACGAACAUUAUCAAGCUGAUUUCACUGUGAGGAUACAGGAGCUGUCUGUCUCCAAUGGUGCAGAAGGAGCUUACUUCAGUAGGCUGGACUUAGACAACACCUGCACGUGCUUACUGGUAGAUGGUACCAAUUUGGAGUGAUCUCACACAAGUGAAGCUGUUUAGCUAUCAGGCAUGUUCUGUUCAAAUGGCUGAGAGUGAAUCUUCCUAUAAGCCUCAGCAGCAGGCUGCCCUAGGUUAUUCUAAUUAUGGAUAAAUGUGCUGAUUUCUCACCCAGAAAUACACUAGAAGUGAGUCCAUCUGAUCUCACCGUUCUGGAUUUCCUUCAUGGCCAAAAAAACUCACUUCUCAGGCACUGAUCUGCUUUUAGAGUAGACACAGACAUGACCUAGAAUCAGAUAUACAAAACCAUUGAAGGUAAUGUAUUUCUGAGAUCGGAUACCUUACAUCACCAGCAUGGAUGGAGAACAAAAAUGCAUACCUUGUCCUUCAAACUGGGGGAUCCGAGAGACAGAAUGGAAGCAAACAUACCCUACAGCCAUGCUACCCUGCUGCUCUGCUGGUCUUUGACCUCUGAUUCUAACAUUAAAAAGAGACUGCUCUUGCUUCUUGUGGGAGGGAACUUAUCUUUCUAGGCCUUAAACGUUAGUGGUGAAAGACCUGUUUCCUCUUUCUUUCUUAUGAUGGAAAGCCAGAUAUUCCCCCAUGUGCAAUCCUUAAUUCUGCCAUAGCACUGGAUUUCAACACAGGCAGAGUUGCUUGUGUUCCAAAUGGGGAAAUAACCUCAAUGUUCAUUUCAGAAGUUCUGGUGUGACACAAGCAGAGCUGCUGCGUAACUGCCCAUAGGCCUUUCCAAUAAGGACUG
ensembl:lncRNA